GAUGAAGAACGCAGCGAAAUGCGAUAAGUAGUGUGAAUUGCAGAAUUCCGUGAAUCAUCGAAUCUUUGAACGCACAUUGCGCCUUCUGGUAUUCCGGAAGGCAUGCCUGUUCGAGAGUCAUUAACAACCGUUUCGAUCCCUUUCUUUCAGAAAUUACAAAGAGGAAAAGGGUUUGGUUAUGGUGGAGGAGGGAAAGGGAGCGUUUAGCCUGUAAAAAAAGAGGCUGUGUUCCGCCUCCCCCCCAAAAUUGUACAGGCGGUCGUGUGCGCCCACGCAUCGAGGUGUUGUAAAAGCUGCCACGGCACUUUUCACCUGUGCAGUGCGAGAUUGGCCAGCCGGUUUAAAAACCCCUCCAAACAAUCAAAGGUUGACCUCGGAUCAGGUAGGGAUACCCGCUGAACUUAAGCAUAUAAUAAGCGGAGGA
rnacentral:misc_RNA from 1 species